rnacentral:rRNA from 1 species
UGAGGAAUAUUGGGCAAUGGACGCAAGUCUGACCCAGCGAUGCCGCGUGAAGGAUGAAGGCCUUAGGGUUGUAAACUUCUGUCAGCAGGGAAGAUAAUGACGGUACCUGCAGAGGAAGCCCCGGCUAACUCCGUGCCAGCAGCCGCGGUAAUACGAAGGGACCUAGCGUAGUUCGGAAUUACUGGGCUUAAAGAGUUCGUAGGUGGUUAAAAAAGUUGGUGGUGAAAUCCCAGAGCUUAACUCUGGAACUGCCAUCAAAACUUUUUAGCUAGAGUAUGAUAGAGGAAAGCAGAAUUUCUAGUGUAGAGGUGAAAUUCGUAGAUAUUAGAAAGAACACCAAAUGCGAAGGCAACUUACUGGGUCACUACUGACACUGAGGAGCGAAAGCAUGGGUAGCGAAGAGG